UACGGAGGAUCCAAGCGUUAUUCGGAGUGACUGGGCGUAAAGAGUUGCGUAGGGGGUCUGAUAAGCAAAUAGUGAAAUCCUGUGGCUCAACCAUAGGGCUAUUAUUUGAACUGUCAGACUUGAGAGUAUGAGAGGUAGAUGGAAUUCCCAGUGUAGGAGUGAAAUCCGUAGAUAUUGGGAGGAACACCAAUGGCGUAGGCAGUCUACUGGCAUACUUCUGACCCUGAUGCACGAAAGCGUGGGGAGCGAACCGG
rnacentral:rRNA from 1 species